rnacentral:lncRNA from 1 species
GGUCUAAUACAUCUUUCAACAAAAACAAAAGAAAGGUGUCCACCUAGGCAAAAAUCUCCCGAGGGCUCUAGCUAGUCGCAACUCCCUUGUUGCGGUCCCUAUCUUCUCUCGCAGUGGAAGACUCUGAAAACAAAAGCAACAAAUACAUGGGGGUGAGAACUAUUAAACAAUAGUUCCGAGUGGGUAAGCCAUCGAAAAAAACGAAUUACACCACUAGGUCAACUGAGGCAAAAGUAAAAGUCAUUACUAAUAAAGUAUGAAUAAUGUUAAACAUUAUGAUUCAAAUACUACUAUGCCUCUAAUUAACUAUGUUAUUUAACAAGUAUGGAGUCUAUACUAUCACAUGAAUGAGCAUACAAUGACUAAUAGUUAUAUCCAAAUGUCAUGCGCUAGCUAGUAGUAAUGUUCAACAUUAAGUUUGAUUACAAUUACCCAAUCAUCGAGGACUUACACAAGGUAUAGUCCCGACUUGUGUCGUGCCUAAUUAUCCCGUGGUAGUCAAUAUUUCCUCUCUAGGAAUGAGCCUCGCCUCCACUUCAGCGCCCAAUCCCGCAUGGGCGAGCAUGAUGUCAAAUUCUAAUUGUUCAUUUAAGUUAAGUGCAACAUGCUUAACUCCACAUUUUGUCACUAACAUGCAUUAUGUCAUUUUUGCCUUUGUCAAAAACAAGUAUAUUGGUUGCCAUGCAAGUUGAACAUAAUAAUUCCACUAACCAUAUGAUGUCCCAUUGUAACGUAUGGAAACUUGGAGUUGCGAUGUCAACUUUGACCUAGAGGGUCAAAGUGAGGAUUGAGCUAGUUGGACAUCAUCCCCGAGUGAUUUGUGAUGCGUGUGAAUGAAUUCUGGAGAUAAAUAAGUGUUUCGGCGCAAAUUGGGCGCGAAACGAAAUAUAAAGAGAAUUUCAGAUUUCCGACGCUAACUUUGAUUAAAAGAAUUAAAGUAAGGCGUGAGGAUAAAUUGUGGUAUCUCCGAAUCAAUUGUGAAGUUUUGGAAAAGCCAAUGGUGUGCUUUCAAAGGGUUUUGAAGUGUUCAGUGCGAAGUGGUAGUGCAAAAAGGAGAAAUUUCUGCCGUAUAAUGAAAUUGGAGCUGAUUCUAUUGCUAAUUCGGCUCCAAUAAUGUCAAAAUGCAAAGGAAUUGCUUCCAAAUUGGAUUGGUAGCUUGUGAAGGUCCCUUGGUAUCUUUUGGACAUGUUUGGGUGAAAUNUCUGUGAGAUGAAUGCUUGUAAUAGCAUUGUUAGCCUUUUAUGUUUUUUGAUACUUAUACAAUCUAUGUGUGAAUGCUGUUCCUGGUUGGGACCUCUUCUGUUGCAUUAUAUGGAUUGUGACGCCUAGGACGUACAGGGAAAGCUCUGUCCGUUCGGCGGUCUGUCGGCGUGCCCGAAUCUGACCAAAUUGGCGGAGCUCGGGGCGUGUCACCCAUAGGAUUUUUCAUUUACCCAUCUCUAACAUGCAUUUCUAUAUUUGCAUAAAAGGAAAUACAACUACAUACCAUAUUAUAUGCAUGUUCACAUCAUAAUUUUCUACUACAUAGAGUAUGAAAACUUUUAUAUUUAACAUGUGUGUAUCAUGUACCCUAAAAUCCUAUCAUGUCAUGAAAAGCGUGAAUACGCCUCAAUUUAAAUCCUAUAGCAAUAUAGGAGGCAUAGGGGGAGGAGUUCACCAAUUUCAAUAAGGUCAAACCCAUCGGAUAACCUUUGAACUCGUUCGUUUUCUCAAACGAAGUUGCCCACAAGACUUCUAGCACCCUAAGGAAAAUUCUCAAAGGGUUACAAGCUUCUAAAAUGCUCACCACGAAAUUCACCAAAAAUUCAAAAAAAAAAAGGUGAAAAUUAUCUUUGACCAAGUAGAACUUGUCCAAAGUCCAAAUCAAAGCUAAGAAACUUCAAAUCCAACCUAAAAGAGUGUUCCACACUUAUUAAUUCAACCCCAAAAGUAUAAAAUCAAGAGAUUCCAAAAUAAACCCUAGUUUCCUCAAAACUAGAUUUUCUUCCAAAAUUUUUCCAAAAUUUAUAAUUAGAGGAUGUAAGAAGAUUACUAAUCUCAACACAAUCUCCAAAUCAAGCUGGAUGAUGCUAGGGUUGGAGUUAAAUCCCUAAACAAACUCCUUUCUUCACUCCCAAUCUCCCUUCAAGGUCCAAGUAGCAAGCUUCCAUAAAGAAGAAGAAGAAUAAGAGCUCAAAUCCCAAGAUUUAAAGGUUUGGAGAGGAAGAAUUCGAGAAAAAGAGAGAACACUCACCUUUUUCUCUCUCUAGCACUCAGCACGAAGGGGAAACAAAUAAAGGAAUGAAGGGUUAUACACAUGAUGUAACAAUCCCCCUUAGGCCCCUUAAAAACUCAAAAAUUGCAUACUGCACGAAAUUUGAUUCAACAGCAUUGGGUACCGGUACACGAAUUGGAGUACCGGUACUCGGCAAUUCAAGUGCCAAGGGUCCAGUUUUGCAAAAUCAUAACUUUGUUAAUUCAAAUUUUCAGCUGCAUUCCAGUAUGCUCGAUGUAGUACCGGUACUCAGCUCAAUAACGGUACACACAACCCGGUUCCGCAAAACCUGAGAGUUGCUUGUUUCGGCACUCCACUGUGUUUCGGUACCUCACACCAAUACUAAUACUCAACACCAAAAAUAUGUAAUUUGUGGAUUUUAAUGUCGAAAACCCAUUCUAACACCUAAAGAGCUCCAAAAAUAGGUCGGCACACUUCAGACGACCCUCACAACUUCCAGAAUAGCUCAAAAUACUAUUCUUACACUGGAACCUUAUAAUUUGCUAAAGUUUAAUGUAUUACACUCUACCCUCCUAAAAAGGAGUUUCGUCCGCGAAACUAGAAGUCGAGUACCUCAAGAAUCCAUAUGGAGAGAUGGGGAUAACGCUCUUGCAUCGCACUCUCCAACUCCUAAGUAGCCUCGCGCUCGUCAUGGUUGCUCCAAAACACAUUCACAUAAUGAAUUGCAUGAUUUCGGAGUUUCUUUACAUCGCAAGCCAAAAUCCUCAUAGGAUGCUCCCCAAAGCUCAAGUCCUUGUGCAACUUUAACGAUGAGACCGGUCCCUGCUGGGGAGAGACCGGUCCCUCUGGGCGAAAACUGCCCAGACCGGGCUGUUGCAAUAAUGAAUUUUUGAGGGGCCUCACGGGAUUUUGUUACAUUAGAUGGGCUUAUUAGCCAUUUCCUCCUCUUCCCUCUCUCAUUUCCUCAUUCUCACCCCUCCCAACACCUUCUAGAGAGAGAAGAAGAAGAAGGAGGAGAAGGAGAAGAAGAGGAAUUUGCUUGAGGGAGCUUGGAGCUCAACCCCUUUCUCUCUUUCCCACCUUUGCAAGGCUUGGAGCUUGCUUAUAGGGCUUGGUGGUGGGCCAAUCUUCAACCCUAGAAGAUUUGGAGCUUGUUUUGAGGUAUCUAGAGAGGUUAGUACUUUGAUUCUACCCUUUGAUUCUUGUUUCGGUAGAUUUUGCCAUUUGAAACCCUAGAAUGGGUAUUAGGGUUGAUUUUUGGGGCUUUUUGAUCUAGGGCUUUUGGGGCUAGAUUGAUUGGUUUAGAACCUUCCUUGGGCUUGGAUUGGAAGGGUUUUAGCUCUCUUUUGGAGCUUAGGUGUAAGGGAAGUGAAUUCUCGAAAUCUGAGGAUUAGACUUCGUUGGGAAUCGACUGAUUGUCGAGUGUGUAAGCUUCGGAAAGUCCGAAGGUGGUUAUAAUGCAUAAAGUGCAUUGAGGAGAUGUCCGCGAGAGCACCAGUGCGAAAACAGCACUGGGGCAGAAAUGCUCUCGGGGACCGGUCCCUGGCAGGGAGGGACCGGUUCCAUCGGGCUGGGCUGUGGGGAUCUCUGAUGAGACCGGUCCCUGGCAGGCAGGGACCGGUUCCCGAACGUUGGCCCAGCGAGAGAGAACCGAAAUUUGGCUAAGUCCCAAAAAUGUUGCUCUCGGGAACCGGUCUCUCGGACAAGGACCGGUCUCCCGGGGACCGGUCUCUCAGGUAAAGACCGGUUCCCGAACGCGAAAAUCCCUCUGCCUGGUUGGGCAGUUCUCCGGGUGCCGGCUUGUACGGGAGGGCGAAGCCCUCACCAAAGCAUGGUGCGAAAUGAGCACAAUGGCAAGUAGUCAAACGAUUGUCGAAGAUACCUAAGUCCUCUAAUGUCUAAUACUGGAAUGUGUCAGAUAUUCCAAAUGGCCUAUCCCCUAUGUCCAUGCAUGCUCUCUAACAUUGGAAUAUAGCAGAUAAUGUCAGUGGCUAUUCGACUUGUCUCUAUGUUGCCAGGUUUCAUAGUGUUACUAGUUUCAAGUGCCCUUUAUGAACCUCUGCUCUCUAUGUCAAAUACAUGGAACUAUGUUCCAGGUACUAUUCCAAGUCAUCAUCAUCAUAAGAGAUGUAUUUUUCAUUUGCAAAACAAGUACAUUUCCGUAUGGCAUGCAUUCACUCACUAUAAGCCCUCUACUAGUAUAGUGAAGAUUUUCAUAAUAUCAAAGGCAUGCAUUUUUAAUGUGCUGCUAAAAUUCAUAUAAAUCGCAUGUAGAUAGAAAUGAACUUAUAAAUUAUUUACAACAAGUAGAAAGACCAUAGCGGGCCAUUUUCGCCCCAUUUCAACGAAGCCAACCACCGAUGACAAAACUCCUCGUGUGCGCAUCACAACGAGGGUGUCCUCUAGCUCCUAGUACCCUAAAGGUAUAAAACAUGUGGUCACACGAACGAAACGAACCAUCAUAGCUCAUCAUUAGAGUAGACAAGUAUAUGGUGGAGAAGAACUCACCUCUAGUGUAAAAAUCUCACUACUAAACCUCCAGAAAUGAAGCUUAGGGCUCAUCCAUCCAACUAAUGGAAGCCUCUAUCCAAACAAUCUAGCCUCAAAAGCUCUAGAUUCAAAAUGCCCAAAAUAAACCCUAAUAUCAACAAUCUAGGUUUCAAUUCAAAUAAAGCCUCAAAAAAUGAAUCAAAAAAGGUGGAAUCAUGUUUCUAAGCCUCUUUGGAAGCACCAACUUUAGCCUCUCAAUCCAAAGUGGGGUGGCGAGAUCUCCUCAGCCCACAAGCUCCUCUCAAGCCUAAGCUCACACAUGGUGGAGAAGCCACCAAGAUGCAAAAAAGAGAAGAAGAAAACCACAAAUACAAUAACCGAAGCAAAGGUAAAAAUGGCAAGGAAAGGGGAGAGAGAGCUCCUCUCACGCUUCUCCUCCUCAGGUCCAGCACAAAGAGGCCUUAAGGGCGUGGUGUGUUAUAGAAAAGCCACAAUCGCUGAAAAACCCCUCAGUUCAAACUGCAGACGAAAUCAGCCUACCUUGUACCGGUAACGGUUCUUGUACGUACGAAGGCCGACGAAAGAUUGCAAACCGAGGCUCAGUCGCGCGGUUGCGGCUCUGUACCGCAGGUACAAGCCCGAUGGCUUGUACGACAACCAUCANNNNNNNNNNNNNNNNNNNNNNNNNGCCAUCGCGAUACAUAUUCGCCGUGCGGGAUUGGGCGCCGAAAUGGAUUGCCGUGGGCCAGGCUCAUUCCUAGGGUGGGGAUGAUGACUACCACGGGGCCAUUAGGCUCGGCACCGGCCAGACCGCCUUCGGGUGGGUCUCAGGGCCAUAGACAGCCUUCGGGUGGGUCUCUUCAGAUUCGACUUGAGCAUUCGUUAUGACAUGUGGACAGAUGAUGAUUUAGAGUAUUGUUUGGACAUUGACUAGAAUAGUAAACAAUAGAACUUUACUAUUUCGCAUUGUGAACAUUAUGAUAGUUGGGGACUUUUACUUCAUGUAUGGUUGUUUCAUACUGAUGCUAUUUAGGCUAAGUAGAGAUAUCAUGUUGUAGUAAGUUACAUUUUACUUACCUUUCGCUUUCCUACAUUUAUAGUCACUAACCUCUUUUGUAGCUUUGGGCCUUGUGGUGCAUUCACUGAAGUCAGUAAUUGCCCACUGGGAACUAUUUUUGAUAGUUCUCACGCCCCUGUUUCUAUGUUUCCUUUUCAGAGCCUUCGGCACCGGCGGAGGCACGGGAUCGCGGCAAGGGGAUCGCGUAGCUAGCUAGCGAGGAGCUUACUUGCCUAGGUGGUUUACUCUUUCUUUUGUAGUUGAGAGAGUGAGAGUUUUUGUACCCUGUAUAGAGACCACCUAUGUAUCUACUCAUAGUACUUGUCUUUGGGAUUUCCUAUUGUAUUUACUUUAUGUUUUAUUUAGUGGACUUACAGUUUGAACUUUAUCCCUUGUUGUUAGCAAUUAGACAUUUUCUAUGCUCUGAUACUCCUAGAUGUCUUUUAUUAUUGCUCUUAUCAUCGUUGUUUUUAGACGCCUUAUAUGUUGUAGACAUAUGGCGGGUCUGGGCACGCGCCGGGCGGGCUUUCGUUGGGUCCCGGGGCGUGACACCUACGGGGUCGAGUGGGACAGACACAUUCCAAGAGUAGGGAUGUUGGGCUACCACAGGCACUUAGGCGGCACAAGCUGGACUACCUUGGGUAGGUCCCUAAUUGGAAAUAAAAAUCGACACGGUUUGAGAAUGAACAAUCACUACAAGACAGUUUGGUAGUUGGAUUACAUUUACAUGCAUAUAGCCUAGGGUUGAGACAUGUAGUAUACUUGACAGUUACCUAUUUCAUCACGGUAUACUUGGUUGCCAUGAUAGAGCUUAUACUUCAUGUAUGAAUAAAGGGUUGUAACAGUAAACUAUUGCCAUUGGUUACUUUUCCUUAUGAUAGAAUAGGUGUACAACAUUCGACAUCUUGCUUAUGAGGAAUAUAGUAGUAUAGCAUUCUACUUAUGCAUUCUCUUUCAGUAGUCAUUUACAUACUCCUUUUUAUUGCUUAUGGCUAUUAGCAUUACUUACCCUUGUUUUGGGGCCUAGUGGAGCAGGAGUUGAGGUCAGUAAUUGCCCACUGGGAACUAUAAAUUAUAGUUCUCACGCCCUCUUUUUCUCGAUGUUUUUCAGAGCCUUCCUCUCAGGGUGAGGCCAGGGACCGCGGGAAGGGAGUUGCUUCGAGCUAGCUUCCUACGAGGACGACUUGCUAGAUGGUCUACCUCUCGUUGUACUUUAUUUUGGAGAGGUUGAGAGUUUUACCAGGGUACUAGAGACCGCCAUUUUUGUAUUGGAGGCUAAUACUGUAUAACUUAUGUUUACCUUUAUGUAUUAGUUAUGUUCUAUUACUAUUUGUAUAGAUGUUAGAACUUUUCUUGCUCUGAUAUCAUUAGAUGCUUGUUAUUUCACUUCUUUUAUUUGACCCAUUCCUUGCUUUUACUUUCGCUUUUCUUGUAGACGCCUUAUAUGUGUAGACAUAUGGCGGGUCUUGGCACGCUACCGGGAGGGCCUCCGCCGGUCCCGAGGCGUGACAGAUUAAUUUGGUAUCAGAGCGAGUUAAGAGCAAGCAAAGAGAGAGUCUAGGAUGGACCUAGGAGACCCUAGGACGGUGAACCCUAAGGUUAUAGGUGCGUGAGUGCGACGUGAACCUAUACGGUGGCGGAAGUUGAUCGAUUGGGUCAAGCCGAGCGGCGUGCGCCGCGGGAGGCCGAUUGCGAGUGACGACGAGCAAUCGGAACGCUGUAAAAAGGUGGGGGAGUGCCAUCCCGAAGUCAUCGGGCUUCUUCCUAUGUCUUAGUGUUUAUCCGUUCACAUGUAGCAUAUUGUAUGUUGCUAUGCAUUAUAGGAUGACAAUACAUGCAUUCCUAAUCCUUAUAUGAUGUUUAUGAUCAAUAUAGUAUUAUGAUAUGGAUAUAUGAUGUGAUGGACAUAAGGAUUAUGAGAUGACAUUAGUAAACCUAUGAUGCUAAAUGAGAGAAGAACCUAGUGUUGUGUUUGAAGACAUAGUUUACAAGUGGCAUUGAACUCAUUGUGCUAAAAACACAUAUGACUUGAGCUAGUAAUGGAUGUUGUUGCACUAGAAACGUCUAAGUAACAUUGAUCAAGUUGCAAUAUUGGGAUAUUGCAUUAUAUAGUCUUAACUAUGUUGGCAUGUUACAUGUUAUGGCAUGCUAGUUGCGGAGUGUAGUGUUACUUGAUUAAUACUGUACCUUAGUAUGCAUGAGAUUGGGGACUAUAGUGUGGUGAAACCCUAUAAGGGCAUGAUUAUUGUGGUUAACUUUUAGUUGGACAUUAAUCGAUCAAGUUGGCAUAUUAUAAUUAUCUGCAUAUUACGGUGCUAAGAUGAUUUAUGGUUAUUUGCUUAUAUUUGCAUGUACGUAGUUAUAAUUUUGUUGGUGAUCCAGGAUCUAGAUAUGCAUUUUGAAACUAUAUUGUUGAAUACUAGACCUAAUAGGUAUUAAUGUCCUAUGUUGCUAAAGAACUAGUAAGUGUUAACUAGUGUUGAUAAUGAGUCAAAAAUUGACGAGUGGCGACUUAUUUAGAAAACUAGAUGAGGCAUAUGAUUUUGUUUGAGCUUGAUAGGAGAAACUAGUGUACUGAGACACUAUUGCGAUUGGAAAUACAUGUAUAACCUUGCUUCCCAUGUAUAAUUACCCUCAAAGGGUUUUGUUGUUGCUCGUGAGAUGCAUCUUGCCACAUUGCCUGUCUGCGCUUUGUGGGGUCGCUCCCCCAGGUUGUGCGCUCCGGAGAUUUGUCACUAGAGAAGGCAGCCCGUGCUUGCUGCUCGAUAGCCCGCUUGUUUGAUCCGCCAGGUGUACUCGCGGGAUAGUCAGCUUUAGGACAAUCUGCUCGGAGAUUGAUAUGUGACCUUGCUUGUGAACCACGAGUUCACCUUGAGCAUUGGGUUACCUAUUGAGCCCAAUAUCAUUGUUGUUGUUUCAUGAUAGCUUGCUUCCCAUAUGUUGUUGUUGUUGAUCAUAGUGCCUUAUGGCUUACCGGCUACUUGGUGGUGCUAAUGAAUAGCCUAUUGAUAACCUUAGGGUAUGUAGUUAACCUUCACUAGACUUACCUUGAUACGAGAUAAGUCGCUUGGAGUUGUUUAGCGGAUUUGCCUAUAUACAGAGUGGGUAUAUUAUUCCUUUCACCUAUGAGAUUGAGUAGAGUAGCUCUUACGUAGAUAGGUUGAGAUGUGAGUUGGCAAUAGUGCCGCGUAGCGCUUUGCCUUAGGACCUAGAGAUGUGAGUCGGCGAAGGCGGGGUAGCUCUUAUGCCUGGGACUCAGCGCAGAUUGGGUCAAGACCUUUGAGAUAUGAGUCUGAUGUGAGACAAGAAUGAGGUAGCUUUCACCUAUAGAUUUGAAGAUCUUAGGCAAAGUAGCCAGCGGAUGCGGUAAUAACAUGAAUACACAUAAGAGCUAUAGCAUUCAUACCAUGAUUAGGACAUUAGUGCAUUGCAUAACUAUGUUGUUGUUUGUAUUAUUUCACUGUUGAGAGCAUACUAGCAUGAUGGUAGGUUAUUGCUAGAUGAUGUUCCAUGCAUACUUUUCAUUUGAUGGCAUAGUAGAUAUACUAGUAGUAUUUCCAUAUAUCUUUCUAUCUAUCUAUCUGUGCCAGCUUGGACCUAGUGGGAAGAUCGGCGGAGUCGGCGGCCGAACCCACUGGGAACUAUAUUUAUAUAGUUCUCACCCCGUGUGGUUUUGGGGUACAGGUACACACGAGAGCGGAUCGGCAGAGGAUCGCGUUAUGGGCUUAGCGCCCUAGUGCUAGUUGAUAGUUUACUUUCCUAUUUUGCAUUAGAGUUACCCUAUACAUGUAUUGAGAGUAGAUGAUGUAUAGGAUGUGAGGUAUUUUGAGAUAAAUGUAAACUAAUGUUUAUCUUUUGAAGAAUGUAAGCUUAUAUUCAUAGUUUGGAAAAGAAUGCAAGUUGUAAUUAAAUGUAUCGAGCUGAAUGGUUGUAAUAGAAUAGUUAAGUAUCUCUCUUUUGUUUCACUUGUAUGUCUUCUACUUGUGACGCUUGCUCUUGUAGUGUUCAGCACUGUUUGUGCUCUCGUCGUUGUUGUAUGAUUGUGUAUGUAUUCAAGUGUUUUCCUGGGAACUUGUUGUACACAAUCUUGUCAUUUGAGCCUUGGGCGGACAGGGGAGACUCUGUCCGUUCGGCGUCCGUUCGCCGCGCCCGAACCGUGCCAAAUCGGUAGCGGCCUCGGGGCGGGGGCGUGACAAAUCCAGUCAAGUGCCUAGUGCUUCAUGAAAUCUUUUCCAGAAGUGCGAUACAAAUUUAGGAUCUCGAUCUGAUACAAUAGAUAUAGGCACUCCAUGAAGUUGCACAAUCUCAUCAAGAUACACUUAUGCGAGCCUCUCUCCAGUCCAAGUAGUGUGAAUAGCAAUAAAAUGUGUAAAUUUUGUUAACCUAUCCACAAUCACCCAAAUAGCAUCUGUCACGCCUCGAGCCCGGCCUAUUUGGUCGGUUCGGGCACGUCGUACAAACGCCGAACGGACAGCACCUCCCCUGUCCGCCCAAGGCUCAACAAGUACAGAUCAUGUAUAUAGAGAUUUGCGCAAGCAAAAACAGAUAUAUGCAUGGCUUGCACGAAGGCAAGCAAUAGCCAAAAGUGAAAGUACUAAACUAAAUGCUCAUACAAGUAUAAUGAUUAUCUUUUAAUCACAUACAUGCAUUCAACCACAUGUUACAUUUACAUUCUUUUCAUCAUUUCUUUUUAGAUCACAUGAUCUCUCCAAAUUACAUAACAAGUUUUCAUCCAAAAACUUAAGCUUUUACAUUUAAACAUAAGCUCUCUUUACAUCAUUUAUUAUACUAGAAUCAUCAAAUACAAAAGAUGAUAUAUAAAGGGUAUGAAACUAAGCAAAAUGAGAAACUAACUCGGGUGGUCACUAGCUAUGGCGCGAUACCCUUACCGCGAUCGUCGGCCAGUUCACUCGAUCCUGGCUUUGUGGAAAAUAAUGGGGUGAGAACUACAACAAAGUUCCCAGUGGGUUCGGCCACCGACCUCGCCGACUUUCCCACUAGGUCUAAAUCAGGCAUAAUAGAAGAAUAAAUAGAUAGAUAGUAACCAAGCUAAACAAAUGCAGCUAAUAUGCCUGAACAAUAAAUAACAAUGAGCAUGCUCAAUUAGAAUGAUCAUGAUGAAUGCAAGAUCCCAAUUCAAUUACCCAAUCCUUUUGACUAACCCGUAGGUUUCACCCUCAAUCGACUUACCAAACUCAAAUCCUUUUUUAUAUGGCCCUCAGCUGCCUCCCGACAGGACCGUCUUCUGGGAAAAAGAGCAACCCAGUGAUGACAACUCCGGAGCUCAUCGCUCGAGGGGGAGCAACCAUCCUCAAGCCAAGACUUAUAGGUGAGUAUGAUCCAAUCCUUAACUAUAAGGAUUCCAAGUUCAAUACAUUCCUUAACUAUAAGGAUAUAAUGCUCACAUGACCCUUAACUAUAAGGUUAUUAUGUCAUAAUGUCAACUAUCUCAUUUUACUUGCAUUCUUUAACUUUCAUGGUGCCACACUAAGUGUUAUUUCUAGCAUUCAAUACUCAUUAAUGCCACACUUGUACACUAGCACUCUUGACUCUUUAAUGCCACUCAACCAUUUAUGUCAUAAUGUCAUUAUGUCUCUAAUGUCACUAGAUUCUUGUCAUAGUUUAUGCAUACAUAGAGUUUUAUAAGUUCUCAAUAGUCCAAAACAUUUCAUAUGCACUAGCAUUAAAUCAUUCAACCAACUUAUGCCCAACUCACCCUACAAUGCAUGAAAAAGCUAUAGUCACAUAUGCUAAAAAAUGACACUUUAGACAUAAAAGAAAAUUCAGGGAUUUCGGAAAGCACCACCCAUCUCGUAUGGUUGCUAGGGUGCUACGGUUCAUGUUUCGUGAUUUUUGGGCACGUAUUUUCUCGCCUGCGCCAAAAUGAAGCCAAAUUAGGCUUUUUUCUCCAAUAUCUUUGCGUAGACUCGUCAGAUUUUCGAACCGAGUCUCCAAACACGUUAUAAAUACCUCCAAUUUGGUUUCUACGCGGUCAAUUUACAUUUAAACCAACCUAUGGCAAAAGCCCCAAUUUUAGAGCCCUAACAAUGUUAUAUAGCCACAAACACCAUAAGGAUCUUUAAGAUAAGCAAAAACAAGCUUAAUGUCAUCUAGGAAUUCCUCUAAAACCAUUUCUAGGUGAUUUAAACCAUUCUUAGGGCAUUUAAAACAAACCCUAGGAUUCUACCAUGAGAGCUCAUGAGCAACAUGGAAUUUCAUGAGGUUCCAAGGUCUCUACUAGGUUUCCCUUCAUGUAAGAAGAUCAAAACCAAGUAUUCUAGGGUAUGAAACCAAACCCUAACAUAGUUCUUUCAAGAAAUCUCACCUUAGCCUAAAAGCUCUCCAAGUUCCUCCCUGUAGGUAAGCUCUAGAUCCUCCACAAGCUCCAAAAUCUCCUCCAAUCUUCUCUAAUCUCCUCCAAACCGCCUUGGGAGGGGGUUUCUAGAGAGAGAGAGGGAGAGAAAUAAGAGAGAGGUGUUGUUUUGACUGUGAACAAGAGAGGAGAGAUGUGGGGGUUUAUAUAAGCCGCCACAAUUGCAUUUAAGCCCUCCAAACAUUUUUAUUUGCAGCAGACUAAAACUACUGUUCGCAGUGCAGGGUAUCGGUACGCGGGUGGGCGUCACCAGUUAAGCCCUUGUUCAACUGUCCAAAUCUGAGAGCUACUGUUCUUGGGUGGCUGCGGGGUACCGGUGCGCAUCGGGGCCGUCACAGAUUAAGCAGCUUGACAAAGGCCUAACCCGAGAGCUGGCUUCUCAGGUGGCCUGCUUGGUACCGGUACUAUCACGCCCCGGGACCGGCGGAGGCCCUCCCGGUAGCGCGCCCAGACCCGCCAUAUGUCUACACAUAUAAGGCGUCUAGAAUAGAAGCGAAAGUAAAAGCAAGAAAUAUAGCAAAAGGAAAGAACUACAACUAAUGAUAUCAGAGCAGUAUGAUUCUAUCAUCUAUAAUAAGGUAAAAGGACAAUACUGAAGUAAUAAAAGUGAAACAUAAGGUUAUACAAUAUCUGUCCAAAAGGUACACAAAAGGGUGGUCUCUAGUACACUGGUACAGCUCUCAACCUCUCCAAAAUAAAAUACAUCGAGAGGUAGACCACCUAGAACUCGUCACUCGCUGAAGAGCUAGCUCGAAGCAACGUCCUUCUCACGGUCCCUAGCCUCUCCCGGCGUGGAAGGCUCUGAAAGAAAACAUAAAACAGAGGGCGUGAGAACUAUAAGUUAUAGUUCCCAGUGGGCAAUUACUGACCUCAGCUCAAUGCACCACUAGGCCCCAAAAAAAGGGUAAGUCAAAAGAGGGCAAUAAUAAUGAAUAAACUGCAUUUAUGAAAGUAUAAUUAAAAUGCUAAACUACUACACUGCAAUUAAACAUGAUGUUAAUAUAAUACACCUUUACUUUGUCAUAACCAAUAUGUCUCUACAUGGUCACAAGUUAAUGUCACGGUUUACUUAAUGAAGUUAUGAAGAUCAUGCUUUAUCAUGGCAACAAUGUAUAUAUGAAUGCAAUAAGCAACCUCUCCUAGCAUGCUACAUGUAUGUAUGUAUACUCAAUUGUCCCAAAACUAUGCUAGAAGCAAGUUCAAGUAAUCCAACUACUACUCUCUAUCUACUAGUGAUUAUAACACACUCGACACUGUGUCGAUUUCCAUUUCCAAUUAAGGACCUACCAAAGGUAGUCCAGCUUGUGCCGCCUAAGUGCCUGUGGUAGCCCAACAUCCCUACUCUUGGAAUGUGUCUGUCCCACUCGACCCCGUAGGCUUCUCAAUACCGCACGAGCGAACAUAGGUCGCGUAGGCUAACUCCGGAGUGCCGGCUUGUAGGGAGCGACCCUCACAAGCAUGUGCGAAUGAGCACAAAUAGCAAGCAAGCGUAGUCAAAGGCUCAAGUAUCCAACCCUCAUGUCUCAAACAUGGCAAUAGCUACUAGUAACCCAACGGUCUAGCUCUAUGUCACAAUGUGAUAACCCAACACUCACUUGCUUAGUGCCUCUUUAUGACACUUAAGCACCACCACUAAUCAAGCCCAAAUCAUGUUCUAAGUUCCUAUUUAAGACAUUAACAUCAAUACUCACUAUGGUCGGAGCCCAUUGCCUUUUUAUGACAUUGGCCCAAAUUCUCAAUAGUCUAAGUCCCAAAGCCUCUCUAGGCUUCCACAGUCUCUAAUGUCACAAUUGGGCAUAAAGGUUAAAUGCAUGAAAGCAAUAUCCAUUUUCAUAAUAGGAAUCACGGUUCAAAGUCCCAACUAGAAUGCUAUAUCCCACAUGCAUACACCUACCACAUAGAGGUCCAAAAAUUUACUAUACAUAACGUAUGAAUGUCAAGCAUUCUAAAAUUCAUAAUAAAUAUAUCUAACACGAUUAUGCAUGUUUUAUCAAUUAACGAUACUCAAAACAUCACAAAUGAGAUUUUCUCAUUGUGUGGCUAGGUCAAACCCACCGAACCGUCGCGUAGUCCCUCGAUUCGCCGAACGGAGUUGUCCACGAGUCUCAAAAUACCCUGAAAGUAUUGAACGAAGAGAUAUACGGGCAUUACGAUCAACUAUAAGAUCAAACAUUAACCAACAAGGCAAAAGGGCUAAAACUCACCUAAAGUGUAGAAAAACUCUCACAAGUUCCAAAAGAGAGCUAGAAUCCUUCCAAUCUAACCCAAAGGAAGAUUCUAAUCCAACUAAUUUAACUCCAAAAGUCCUAGAUUCAAAAUGCCCAAAAUAAGCCCUGAAAUCUCAUUCUAGGGUUUCAUCUCAAAACCACCAAUAAAAAUCCAAUCUAGAGGGAGAGAACAAGUUGCUUACCUCUUAGAAGCUUCAAUUUAGGCUCUGAAUCCUCCAAGUCCCAAGAUCUUCCCUCAACAAAGCACCAAAACCAAGCUCCAAGCUUCAUCCAUGGAGAAAAGUGUACCAAGAGGGAAAAGAGAGAGAUCAACACUUAAAUCCCAAGCUAAAAAGAGAUCAAAUCCAAAGGAGAAGUAUGGAGGAGCUCCCCUUACCUUCUCUCUGCAGUGGCAAGCUCAAAGAGCAGCCCUAGGGGCGUGGGUGCUGAUAUAAGAGACCCACAAACACGAAAAAUCCCCUGUAGUGCAAACUGCUCAAAAUCAGCCACCUUGUACCGGUACACGGGCCCUUGUUUCGGUACAAGCCCUGCGAAAGUCUCAACCCGAGGCUCGGGUUGGGGGGGUUCAGCGGCUCUGUACCGGUACAAGCCCGGUGGCUGUACCGGUACCCCACCAGAAAGUUUGGAAAAGCUCAGGACACAGUCCAAACACUCGAACCUCGCAAUUUGCAAAGGUCCAGUGUGUUACAGGUACUCCCCUGGUGCUUCACCAGUUAAGCAGUGCCCAGACUGCAGUUUUGGUAGUACUCAGUUCCUUUUCGCGACGAGCAACGCUAAAACCUUUCUAACACACUUGGAACUCAACUUUAACCCUUCCAACAUUGUUGGAAUGUCAAAUGGACUUUGUCCAACUAUUUUUCUCGCACAUUUUGGUCAAUUUGACUAAAAUUCGAUAUACUCUACCAAAGUUUCGGUAUAUUACAGCAUCAUGCCCAGCUUGUGAGUGAGGCAAGCCCACAAUGAAAUCUAUAGUGAUCUGCUCCUAUUUCCAAAUGGAUAUAGGUAGACUUUGUAGCGUUCCUGCAGGAAGUCGGUGCUCAACCUUUACCUACUGACAAGUGAGACAUCGAGCCACAGACUCGCCAACAUCGUUUUUCAUUCCGGGCCACCAAUAGAGUAGCUUCAAAUAUUUAUACAUUUUUUUACUGCCCAGAUUUAAGGUAUAAGAUGCUCGGUGAGCUUUUACUAGAAUCUCCUCUUUGAUUCCUUUCUCCGCCUGUACACAAAUUUGAUUUUGAAAUUGUAGUAUUCCUUGAUCAUCCAAUUGAAAAUCACCAGCAUGUGUGUUAUCAAUCUUAGAUCGAAUUUUUUGCAAUUUCAAAUCUUGGGCUUGCUUUUCCUAAAUCUUUUUUAUCAAGGUAGAUUGCACAACAAAAGACAACAACCUCAAAAGUGUGUCGGGAGUCACCACUUCCAAUUCCAUCCGCCUCAUUUCCACCAACAACGGUAGUUGAGUAACAAGUGACAUGGCCAAGUUUUCCAUCGAUUUGCGGUUUAAGGCAUCCGCCACCACAUUUGCUUUUCCUGGAUAGUAGAGUAUAGUUAAAUCAUAAUCCUUGAGUAGCUCUAACCAUCUUUGCUGACUCAAGUUUAACUCUUUUUGUGUGAAGAGGUACUUUAAGCUCUUGUGAUCAGUGUAGAUUUCACACUGCUCUCCAUAAAGAUAAUGAUGCCAUAGCUUUAAGGCAAAAACUACGGCCGCCAAUUCCAAAUCACGAGUUGGAUAAUUCUUUUCAUAAUCCUUUAGUUGGCGGGAAGUAUAAGCUAUCAUCUUUCUGUCCUGCAUCAAAACACAUCCUAAGCUAUUAAGUGAAGCAUUACUAUAAAUCACGUACCCUGCUCUAGUAUCAGGCAACGCCAAGUUCGGGGCGGUUGUCAACCCCUCUUUCAAUUCCAAGAAGCUUCGCUCACACAAGUCAUUCCAAAUAAACUUGGUUCCUUUAUGCGUGAGUCGCAUGAGGGGAGUAGACAACUUGGCAAAUCCUUCAACAAACCUCUGGUAGUACCCAGCUAGACCGAAGAAACUUCGAACCUCGGUGACACUAGUCGGUCUAGGCCAAUCUUUGAUCGCCUCGAUCUUCUUGGGAUCCACCACUAUACUUGCUCCCGAUACUACAUGUGUCACACCCCGGGACCCAGCGGAAGCCCGCCCAGUGUGUGUCUAGACCCGCCAUACGUCUGCAACAUAUAAGGCAUCUACAACAAAGCGAUAAAUAAAGCAGUAAAACAAAGAGAUCUAGGGAUAUCAAAGCAUACAACAUCUAAUAUCUAUGACAAGAAAAUAAAUAAAAGAGUCAAGAUCCACUAGGAGUAACCAUAACUAGUACAAAGGAUACCCGAAUACAAGUGCUAAUAGUAAUACAAAGGUGGUCUCUAUACAAGGUACCAAAACUCUCCCUCUCAACAAAACACAAAAGAGAGAGAACCACCUAAGCAAAAGGUAAGCUCCUCGCUAUCUAGCUACGCGACUCCUUUGCCGCGAUCACGUGCCUCCACCGAUGUAGAAGGCUCUGAAAGAAAACCACAAAACAGGGGCGUGAGAACUAUUAAAUAAUAGUUCCCAAUGGGCUAUUACUGACUUCAGUGAAAAGCACCACUUGGCCCAAAAGCUAAGCAAGUAAGUAAGUGCGAGUAUAUACACGACAUGAACGAUAAGCAUUUAAACAUGAAAGCUUACUAAACCAAUAUGUCUCUACUUAGCAGGAAUUUGCAUAAGUAUGAUUCUAUUUUAACAUGAAUAUGCAUGAAUAUACAACCAACAUGAUGUCCGCAAUGAAAAUAGUAAUAUGUCCUUGUUUACUAUUCUAGUCCAUGUUCACUUGGCAUAUUUAGUCACUAAAGUUCCAAUCAUGUAGGACCUACUCGUAGGUAGUCCAGCUUGCGUUGUGCCUAAUGGCCCCGCGGUAGUUAACAUCCCCACUCUAGGAAUGAGCCUCCCCCACGGCAUUCCAUUUCAGCGCCCAAUCCCGCAUGGGCGAGCAUGUGUCGCGAUGGCUAUCUCCGGAGUGCCGGCUUGUGGGGAGCGACCCUCACAAGCAUGUGCGAAUGAGCACAAUGGCAAGCAAGCGUAAAAGUCCGUCUCAAGUCCAAUGUCAUUAUGUCUAAAACAUGAAAUAUGGCAAAUGUCUCAAUGGCCUAUCACUAUGUCAUCAUGUCUAAAACAUGGAAUAUAGUCGAUGUCCCAAAGGACUAACACUAUGUCACUAUGUUGCAGUUUAAUAGUUUACUAAGUCGAGUGCCUGUAACAUGCCGAACUUCCAUAAUUAUGAAGUUAUGGUGUAUGUUAGCUUGGAAAGCCGUUAGAAUGGUUAUGGUGAAGUUCGGAAGCAUUCGAUUGCUUCAAUGCGUGUAGGGUGCGAAAACGUGGCCCGAAAGGCUAUGAUGGACCAUGGAUUAAAUCUAGCAAGGGCAUGGAUGAAAAGAUGGUUUAAACAUGUUCGAAAACAUGUUUGGAGAGUGUCGAUUCGAUUUGAAACGAAUCGGAGGUCAUACGAGCGAAAACGAGCGAAAACGGACCCGAAGGCUGAAAAUGCUGAAAAUUUGGCUAAGUCUGGAAUGCAGAAUUUUUGGACCUUCGGGGACCGGUUUCUCAUUGCCUGGGACCGGUCCCAGCACCCGAAAAUGCCCAGUUUGGGCUGGAUCAUUGUGUUAAACAUUGAGGGGUGUGGAGGGUUAUGUGCAAUUGUGUUUGGAUGAGGUUAUAUGUUGGAGAGAUGAGGUUUAGCCCUCAUUUCUCUCCCUCCAACCCAACAUGAGAGCUCUCUCUCUCUCUCUAGAUUUCUCUCCCUCUCUCUCUCCUUGAGGUGCUCCAAUGGUGGAGCCAUGGUGGAAAAGAGAAGCUUGGUGGAGAUGAACCCUCUUGUGCAAGCCCUAGCAUGGAGGAAAGCUUCAAGUUUAAGAUAAAUACCCUAGGUUUUGAGGGUUUUAUGGUUUUGAUGUUAGGGUUUGGUAUUUCCUUCUAGAUCUAGCUUCUAGGAGAUGUAAUGGUGAGGUUAUUCAUGGAUUUCUAUGGUCUAGGGACCUAUUUGGGUAAAGAUGAUAAACCAUAGGGGUUAGAAAAUAGGGUUUUGUAAUUAUGAGAUCUAACUUGGGAUUGAUCUCUUUCUAACCUAAUUGGUAGGUCAACGAACGCGUUGGUGUGCUCGGUUCGUCGAUUCGUCGAGCCGGUACGAAGAUAUUGAAGAAACAAGCUAAAUUGGUACAAAUGGCCGCAGCUCGCGGCGUAGGUGUCUAAAAAUCGUGAAAAUGGAAUUGGGGCUUCUCGGCAUUCCUACAAGGUGGGAGGUGCUGUCCGGAAACACCGGAUCUCUUUCUAUGUCUAUGUCACUUCUUUGAGCAUGUUGAUAAUGUUGUACUCAUGCAUGUAGGGUAAUGAGAUAAAUGUUGAUUGUAUCAAUUAUCUGUUUAUGAACAUUGCAAACAUGUUGUAGAGCCAUGAGAACGAGAAAAUGAACAACCCUAUAUUUAUGUGAAAGUGAGAAAAGACUUGAUGUCACGCCCCGGGACUCAGCGGAAGCCCGCUCGGCACGUGCCCAGACCCGCCAUACGUCUAAAACAUAUAAGGCGUCUAAAAACAGCGAUAAUAAAAGCAAUAAUAAUAGAUAUCUAAGAGUAUCAGAGCAUGAUUAAAGUCUAAAUUCUACAUCAAGGUAAGAAGAGUAAAGCUGAAAUCUACUAAUAAAAGCAUAAAGUACUACAAAGGAAAUCUCAAAUACAAGUGCUAAAAGUAAAUACAUAGGUGGUCUCUACACAUGGAUACAAAAUCUCUUACUCUCUCUCAUCUACAAAAAGAAAGAGUAAACCACCUAGUCAAAGAACCGCUCCUCGCUAGCUAGCUACGCGAUCCCCUUGCCGCGAUCCCGUGCCUCCGCCGGUGCAGAAGGCUCUGAAAGAAACCACGAAAAAGAGGGCGUGAGAACUAUUAAAAAUAGUUCCCAGUGGGCAAUUACUGACUUCAGUGAAUGCACCACAAGGCCCAAAGCUACAAAGAAAGUGGUCAGUGACUAACAAUGUAGUAAAGCGAAAGGUAAGUACAAUGUAAUUUACUAUAACAUAAGGUCUCUACUUAGCAUGAUUUGCAUAAAUAAUAAAGCAACGAUAUCAUGAAUGUACAUGGAUGUGUAUGACAUGCAUAAGCAUAGAAUGCAACUAAUCCGAUGUCCUCAAGGCAAAAAUAGUAAAGAUGUCAUUGUUUACUAUUCUAGUCCAAGUCCACUUUAAUAGUUUUAAAGUUCACAUAGCAUGUUCUGUCACUAAGUCCCAAUAGUGUAAGACCCACCCGAAGGCUGUCUGGCCUGCGCCGUGCCUAGUGGCCCCGUGGUAAUCAACAUCCCCACUCUAGGAAUGAGCCUCCUCCACGGCAAUCCAUUUCGGCGCCCAAUCCCACACGGGCGAGCAUAUGUCGCGAUGGCUAUCUCCGGAGUGCCGGCUUGCAGGGAGCGACCCUCACAAGCAUGUGCGAAUGAGCACAAAUGGCAAGCAAGCAAUGAUCCGUCUCAAGUCUCAAGUCAUCAUGUCUAAAACAUGGAAUACAUCGAAUGUCCCCAUGGCCUAUCUCUAUGUCGUCAUGUCUCUAACAUGGAAUAUAGCAGAUAUGUAUUGGCCUAUCAAUAUGUCUCUAUGUUGCAAUUUCAUAGUUUACUAAUUCUAGUGCCCCUUUAUGACACUUUUAUUCAACGAGUCCAAACAUGGUAUCAAUAUGUUCAUGAUGCAUAAUUCCACUCAAUUCAAACAUGGAGACAUGUUCUCAACUUGCAAAACCAAAAACCAUUCACAAUGCAUGCAAUCUACACAUAUAGCUCUACUAUAUAGAGUGCAAAUUUUAUGAUACAUGAGGCAUGCAUUUUAAGUGUUCUAAAAUUCACAUAAAUCAUGUUUAGUAUGAAUUUGCAUUCAAAAAUACUUUACGAAGAGUUUAGAAAGCAUAGGGGCCAUUUUGCCCCAUUUUCAUGAAGUCAAACCCACCAACGAUAAACGAAACCCUUCGUUUGCCUCAACGAAUGUGUCCUCUAGCCUCCUAGUACCCUAGAGGUAAGAAAACAAGUGUCACAAGAACCAUACGAUCAACACUAAACUUAAUCAUUAAGCUAUUCAAGCAUAGGUGAGGAAAACUCACCUCUAAUGCAAAAAUCUCUUCUAAUGCUCUAAAAGAGAGCUAGAAUCCUUCCAAUCCAAUCUAAUGGAAGAUUCUAGUCCACUCAAACAAGCUCCAAAAGCCCUAUAUUCAAAACGCCCAAAAAUAAGCCCUAAAACCACAUCUAGGGUUUCAUCUCAAAGAAACCUCCAAAAUUCAAAUCUAGAGGAAAGGAUCUUGUCACUUACCUCUUAGAAGCUCCAAUCCAAGCUCAAAGUCUUCUAUCAACCAAGAUCUUCCCUCAACCAAGCCUCAAAUCCAAGCUUCAAGCUUCAUCCAUGGUGGAAAAGGCACCAAAGGGCAAAAGAGAGAAGAAAUCCAUCAAAAAUCAUGCAAAAUGGAGAUCAAAUCCAAAGAGAUGGUGGAGAGGGUCUCCUUACCUUGUUUCCCUGAGUUCUCAGCUCAAGAGAAGCCCUAGGGGGUGUGGGUGCUGAUAUAAGAAGCCCACAAUCGCGAAAAACCCCCUACAGUUCAAACUGCACGAAAUCAGCCCCCUUAUACCGGUACACGGGCCCUUGUACCAGUAUAAGACCCACGAAAAGCCAAACCCGAGGCUCGGGUUGCGGGGUUCUGCGGCCCUGUACCGGUACAAGCCCGGUGGCUGUACCGGUACAACCAUCAACCUUGUACCGGUACAGCCACAGCCUUGCACCGGUACAAGCCCUGCUGAGGGCUACCCGAGAGCUGACCAACUUCCAAUUUUUUUGGGUUUUGGUACACAGCUUUAAACCACAAUUCUCGGGAUACGUGCCAUAGGUUGGAACACAGUCAACGACCCACCAGAAAAUCUGGAAAAGCUCAGGACACAUCCAAACACUCGAACCUUGCAAUUUGCAAAGGUCCAGUGCGUUACACUUGAUCCAUAGUAAAUAAAGGUGACAUUGACUCUAGUGACAUGAUUGGCACCGAGAACAUAUUGUGCUAUAUGAGGUAAAACCUUAAAGCAUUGUGAAAUAUUGACUAUUCCAUUAGUGGACGUUGUGGCUUAGUAAAGUGACAUACAUGAUUAGGUAAAGACCUAUCAUCGGUAUUGUGGCAUCAUGGUUAAAGUUAUAAAGACCAUUCUAUGCAUUGUGACCAUUGUAGCUUAAUAAAGUGACAUACAUGAUUAGGUAAAGACCUAUCAUCAGUAUUGUGGCAUCAUGGUUAAAAGAAAUGACUAAACAAGAUUUAACUUAUUGUGCUUAUUGUGGCAUCAGGACCAUUGUGAUAUUAGGAAAUGGUAGUAUAUGCAUCAAUAGGUAAAGACCUUUCAUCAGCAUUCUGGCAUUGAGACAGGUUUGGCUAUACCUCCUCAAUUUGAUGAGGGGAUCAUACUCACAUGUAUUGGUUCCGGCUUGUGGGAGGUCGCUCCUCCACAGGCGGUGUACUCCGGAGUGAUAAAAACACCACGGGUGAAAGUACCCGGCGAAGAUCCUUCGGGUGGUUGUGCCUUGUGCCUCCCCCGUUAGACGGGAUAUGUGGACUGUGAGUUGGGGUAAACCAGGAGCACCCCAGGUUGAUUGGGUAAAAGGCCAAAGAAAAGUGUGUGGACUGUGAGUUCGGGUAAAUCAGGAGACCCCGAGUUGACCAUAGGGAAGUGAAAAGGAUAUGCAUGCAUAAUCAUCAUGUGUUUGAAUAUGAAUAUCUAUCUGUGAUUUGCUUUCUUGCAGGCAUUGUAUUAGAAGUGCAUUAGUUGGUUUGUUAUCCUUCUUUAUUGAAAUACAUAUGCCUGAAAUAGACCUAGUGGGCGAAUCGGCGCAGUCGGUGGCCGAACCCACUAGGAACUUCUUCUAGUUCUUAUCCCACUAACCAUGCAGGUUCUAGCGCGAGCAGGGCGAUCGGGGCUCGUGGCGUGGUUAUCGUGCUCUAGGUAGCAUACUACCUUUAUGUAUAUAGAGGCAUCCUUGUAUAUUUCAUCUAUUAUGUCGAUGAUGUAAAAUGUAAAAUGUAAAUGUAACAAAAUCAUGUGAGAGGUGAAAAUAUAUUAAGUUCAUUUGAGAGAUGAAGUUGUAAAUUGAGAUGAAUGAAUGUAAAGAAAUUGUAUAAGCUUUGUAUUUGAUUGAAAGUGAUCAAUAUACAAUGUAUAAAUAUAAUAAUUAGAUUGCUCUCACUUAUGUUUGGUUGUUACUUGCCCUCGUGCAAGCCGUGUAUACUUGCAUUCAUUAUGUUUGAAUUGCUAUGUUAUACAUGUACUGUUGGAGCCUUGGGCGGACAGGGGAGGUGCUGUCCGUUCGGCGUCUGUUGACGUGCCCGAACCGACCAAAUUGGCGGUCACGGGGCGUGACAGUGUCCCUUUAUGGCACCUUUGUCCAAUAUGUUCAAACAUGAGUUUGGUGUCCCAGAAUACUUAAUUCUAAUCAUUUCCAACACAUGAGACAGGUUUCCAACUUACAAGAUAGAAUACUAUUCAUAUGCAUGAGUAAUACACUUAGCCCUCUACUACGUAGAGUCAAUUUUUCAUAAAACAUAACGCAUGCAUUUUAAGUAUUAUAAAAUUCAUAAAAAUCCUAUCUAGCAUGAAUAUGCAUGCAUUCCGAUGAUACGACAAAUAUUAGCAAUAUAGGAGAAGUUUUCUCCCAUUUCAUUGAAGCCAAACCCACCAAGACAUCAAGCGACCCUUCGUUCGAGCCGACGAAGGUGCCCGCUACUCUCCUAGCACCCUAAAGGAAAUAAAAAGGGAUAUACACGAACGUUACGAACAAUAGCGUGCUCAAUCAUUAACCAUCACAAGCAUAAGGGUGAAAACUCACCAAAUAUGAAGAAAACCUCUCUCGAUCCCCAAACAAGAGUAAAACCCCUUCAAUCCUAACCUAAACAAAGAUUCUAAACCAAUCAAUUAGGUUCUAGAAGCCACAAAACCAAAAUUCCCAAAAUAAACCCUAAAUCUCAUUUCUAGGGUUUCAUCUGGUAUAAUCUACUAAAACAUGAAUCGAAGGGGAGAUUAAGCUUACUAACCUCUCUAGAAUUCUAAAACAAGCUAGCAAGUGGGCUAGGGUGAAGUUCUCCCUCCAAAUGAGCUCCCACAAAAGCUUCAAGACUUCUACAAUGGUAGAUAUCCAACAUAGAGCAAGGAGGAGAAGAAAAAGGGAAUCAAAACUAGCUAAAAUCCAUCAAAAAUGGAGAAAAACUCAUGGGAGGGGGCCUCACCUGGUUCCUCCACCGGUUAGGGCUCAAAAGAGCUUCUAAGGGGGCUGGGGUGUUAUAUAGGGGAGCUACAAUUGCAAAAACACCCUCCCACAUGAAGCAGUCUUCGAACUGCAAUGUGUACCGGUACACAGGAAAGUGUACCGGUACAACACCAGCCAGACAGCAAACCCGAGUCUCGGGUUGGCAGAACGGCCCAUUUGUACCGGUACAAAUCCGAUGUUGUACCGGUACAGCCACCUAUUCCGGUACAACCUUGAUGGUUGUAUCAGUACACUCCUCUGCAGAGUGUAAUCCGAGAGCAGCCUAAGUUCUCCUCUUUGGGGACCUUAGCGCCAAGUUAAAAACCACAAAUUCUCGAGAUGCAAACCAUAGGUCGGAACACUGUCAAUGACCCUCCAGAAAAUUUGGAAAAACUCAGAACACAGAUCAAACACUUGAACCUCGCAAUUUGCAAAGGUCCAGUGUGUUACAACAUGUCCCAAGAAUGCUACUUCGCAGAGCCAAAACUCACAUUUCUUCAAUUUAGCAAAAAGCUUCUUCUCCCUAAGUAUCUUCAAUACUUGUCUUAAGUGAGCUUCAUAUUACUCGUCACUUUGGGAAUUCACCAAAAUGUCGUCUGUCACGCCCCCGCCCCGAGGCCGCUACCCAUUUGGCACGGUUCGGGCGCGGCGAACGGACCGCCGAACGGACAGCACCUACCCUGUCCGCCCCAGGCGCCAACAACAAGAUUGUGUACCACAAGUUCCCAGGAAAACAAAACUUGAAUACAUACACAAUCAUCUAACAACCGCGAGAGCACAAUCAGUGCCUAUCAUUCAAGAGCAAGCAACACGUGUAAGGCAUACAAGUGAUAAAAGAGAGAUGUACUUAUCUAUUUAUCCAUUUAACUUUAUACAAUUAUUACAACUUGUAUUCUUCCAAAACUGUACAAUGUAUACAUAAUCCUCUCAACCUCACCCUAUACAACAUCUACGCUCGAACAUAAAUACAGGGUAGGGCUAAUGCAAAAAGGAGGAUAGCUAACUAAAACAUGAACCUCUAGGGCGCUACGCCCUUGCCGCGAUCCUCUCCCGGGACGCUCGAGCUCGGACCUGCAGUGUGGUGGAGUGAGAACUACGAAUAGUUCCCAGUGGGUUACACACACACACAAGAGGAGAUGAUGGAAAGAGGCAGAUCUUUGUGGAUAUUUAAACAAGCGCCGAUUCAAAUGAAUAAGGGAAAUCGACAGAACAUGUGUCAAUUUAUACCGGCACUGAUCCUAAGCUAUGAACCUUCUGAGACAGUAAUAAAUUGAAAUCUUAUGGUAAGUUAUAAUGAAGUGUGGUCGGUCAAGCAUGCGCGAAGAGAUUAGUUAAGCAAUAAAGAAAGCUGAGGAGCGCGAGCGCUGAUAUUGAGCUCACAAAAGUUUUGAUUAAUUUCUGAGUGUUAAGUGACACUCGGAAGAGAGUUGUAGUCUUAUCCCUUAAAUUCGCUGAAAGUCUGCUUGUUGAUCCUUUUACUUCUCCGAUGGAGAAUUUGUGAUAUACUUUCACUGCGGACAAGGUCGCUGUUUAGUAUUGUGAAAAGUGAAGUGGUAGUAAACUAGUCUUUCAGUAAAGUAAGAUUAGUAUACAUUGGAAAACAGAUAGCGAACUCUGAGCUGCUACAUGCAAAGUGUGAUAGAAACUUGGAUUUGACCCUAGCUAUGCAGGGAUGGAAGAGAAAUAUUGUCUAGUUGGAAUAUGAGCAUUGUUCGUUGCUAUAGCACAGCAAGUGAGCCAAUGUUGUUGGGGGCUCGGAUGAAAUGGAAUUGGUGACUAUUCUCUAAACCAUUCGGAGUGUAAUGAGAAUUAAAGGUAGAACGGUUAAAGACUGUUUCCUAGAGCCUUUACACAACCUAGAUUGUAUUUCUGAUGAUUAGUUAGUGGUAAGCGGCUACUGAUGUUUGGAAACAUGGUUAGAUGAUGCUUCUGAUGUUAUGCGGCUGAGUUAAUUGAGUGUCUAACCUCUUCAAUUAAUUUGAGUACACGAAAUUUGUGUUUAGUUAGAUCCUAAGUUGUCCUAAUGAGCACUGAGGAGUGCUAUCUAUAGAGAGAUCGCGAUCGGUUGGACACUUGAUGUUAGUUGUCGGCGUAGACUUGUUAUGAAUUGGAUUGUGGCAGCCUUGAAGAGUGAAUUGCCGUAGCUACUUUGCAGUGGCUAAGUGUGGAAGCGGGCCAUGAUUAACCUCUUAGCGCUGUUGGCUCCGCCAACUAGGCUGCUAGAGCGUUAAGAGUGGGAUGAAGACUCCUGAAAUACGAGCAUGUCGUCCAGACUACGUUGGGCGGCUGUAUGUGUUGUGACGAUCCUUGCCUAGACGCCUUUUUGUAUGUGGAUCCCUGCCCAUUGGCAGCGCGCAGUCAGUCUCUGCGAGAGCAGCGGCCCGUACCUACGGGUAUAGGCAGAGAGUUUUGGUCAGGACGUUCCUUCCAGCAUAGAACCGACGACGAAUAGCCAUAAGUUUAGAUCAGUGAGAUCGAGACACAACACAGGCCGUGUCAGCUGACGCCAACCGAGCGGGAAUUAGAACGUAGGAGUGUCUGGAGACGCUCCCCCUCCGCUCUCGGGGUGCUUGCGACAGUUGAGUAGGUAAAGGUACUCCAAAUGAGAAACUUUUGCGUGGUCGUGAUAAAUUGUGGGUUUACGCUUGCGAGCUGAGAAGCUAUUAUUCGAUGGUCACGGUAUGUUAUGUGGCAAUCGCGGCUAUACGGAUGCUGGAUAACUUAUAACCAAUUGUGUAUGGGUUUACCCCUCUUCAUUACUGAAAGCGAGUGUAAGUGGACCCAUUAUUCGCAUGGUUUGUGAGUAGGGCGUGAUACGUGAAGAAAAAGCUUAGUCUCAACUGUAUGACAUUGCUCAGACUUGCUACGCUAACAUGCGAUAUUGUGACCGGAACAAGAUAGGACGCUCGCAGAAUGGGAAACUGGCGACAACAAAGUGUCUCGAGAACUGAUGUGGAGCAAUCAGUAUCUAAGUAUUUAGAAAUCGAAAUUGAGAACAUGUAUCGACAAUCAUAGCCUAUUCGCUCGGGAAUUUAUCUCCAUCCCGCCACUAAGUAGGAGACGAAUGACAGACUGAUAUCAAAGGAUCGUUCGGCCGGACGCGCGCAACCAUGGCCGGACACCUUUUUGUAACCCGAGAAGCGAGAUAUGAGUGUAAGGACCUAUGGAAUACUUGGAGCUGCGAUGCUCAACUUGAACGCUUAGAGGGUUCAAAGUGAAGGGAUUGAAGCUUAGUUGGUACAUCAUCCCCGGGAGGGAUUUGGAUGCGUGUGAAUGAACUUGGUGGGAGAAUAAGAGGUGAGAGGGGUGGUGCGGCGCAAAUGUGCGCGAAACGAAAUAUAAAGAGAUAUUCCGNNNNNNNNNNNNNNNNNNNNNNNNNCGCCGCUCGACCGCCGAUCUCCCACUAAGGCUUGAAGCAGGUCACAGAUAGAAUAUGCAGAUAGAUAGAUUAGUACGAAACUGAAAGCAAUAAACAUGUAAUAAGCAAUAUAAUCUAUCGCAAAUGCCUUAACCAGUGAAAUGCAUGCAUGAAAUUCAGGAUGGAUUUCCGACGCUAACUUUGAUUAAAAGAAUUAAAGUAAGGCGUGAGGAUAAAUUGUGGUAUCUUCGAAUCAAUCGUGAAGUUUUGGAAAAGCCAAGGGUGUGCUUUCAAAGGGUUUUGAAGUGUUCAGUGCGAAGUGGUAAUGCAAAAAGGAGAAAUUUCUGCCGUAUAAUGAAAUUGGAGCUGAUUCUAUUGCUAAUUCGGCUCCAAUAAUGUCAAAGUGCAAAGGAAUUGCUUCCAAAUUGGAUUGGUAGCUUGUGAAGGUCCCUUGAUAUCUUUUGGACAUGUUUGGGUGAAAUCGGAGUGAAAACGGAAACUUUAGAAUUUUCUGUAAAGAACGGGACUGAGAAAAUUAGCAGAAAAUGCACAGUGUCAGAAAAUUAUGAAAAUUGGCAGAGAUGUCAGGAACAUUUUUAUGAGGCUAGAUUUGAAGUUUUAGAUUUUUCUGACACCUGUAGAGAGAGAAAUAGCAUCUGGAAGUUAUCUGAUAAAGAUUACAGUUCGGGACAGUUCGCAGUGACCAAACGGGGUCGAAACUGAAAUGUUAAAAUUUCAGUGGACUUGUUAAGUAAAAACGAACAUUCCUGCCAAAUUUGAGCUCAAUCGGACUGUCGGAAGGACUUACGAAAGGUAUUUGAUCCGUGUUGCUACAUGGACUUAAGUCGAGGGGCAUUAUGGUAAUUAACCUAUGCUUAGUGGAAUUCCACUAAGUUCCCUGCCAGGAUGCUUCCAUCCUUAUCCCCCUCUUCAGCCAUCAUACGUAGAGAGAGAGAGAGAGAGAGAGAGAGAAAAGAAGGAGAAAGAGAAGAAGAAGAGAAAGGAGAAAAGAGAAGAAGAAGAAAAAAAGAGAAGAAGAAGAAGAAGAAAAGAGGUAAGAUUUUAACCUCU